UUGGACUGGCUGACAGGCUUUGACUUGUGCAGGCAGUCAAUUCCACUACACAGAAAACCUGCACAUAGAAGAGAGGAGCACAAGAGAUAUAGGGGUCCUGGAAUUUACCUGGAGAGAGUCCAGGUCGGACCAAAACAUAGUGUUUUGGUAAAUGUAAAUGGUGCCUCCAAGGUGCUGGAACUUAGCGAUAGAUUCUUGGAGCUUCGUGGAGACUCAACAUGGCUUGUCAUGUUUUAUGCCCCGUGGUGUGGCCACUGCAAAAAGCUCGAGCCAGUGUGGAAUCACGUCGCUCAUUGCGUUGUAUGGCACUGAUAUUAGAGUUGGGCGUGUGGACUGCACCCCUUUCACUGCAG